rnacentral:rRNA from 1 species
AACGAACGCUGGCGGCAGGCCUAACACAUGCAAGUCGAGCGAGGACUUCGGUUCUAGCGGCGGACGGGUGAGUAACGCGUGGGAAUGUGCCCUUCUCUACGGAAUAGCCCUGGGAAACUGGGAGUAAUACCGUAUACGCCCUAUUGGGGAAAGAUUUAUCGGAGAAGGAUCAGCCCGCGUUGGAUUAGGUAGUUGGUGGGGUAAUGGCCUACCAAGCCGACGAUCCAUAGCUGGUUGGAGAGGAUGAUCAGCCACACUGGGACUGAGACACGGACCAGACUCCUACGGGAGGCAGCAGUGGGGAAUCUUAGACAAUGGGGGCAAACCUGAUCUAGCCAUGCCGCGUGAGUGAUGAAGGCCUUAGGGUUGUAAAGCUCUUUCAGCUGGGAAGAUAAUGACGGUACCAGCAGAAGAAGCCCCGGCUAACUCCGUG